UGGGGAAUAUUGGACAAUGGGCGCAAGCCUGAUCCAGCAACGCCGCGUGUGUGAAGAAGGCCUUCGGGUUGUAAAGCACUUUUAUCAGGAGCGAAACGCUGUCGGCUAAUACCCGGCGGAACUGACGGUACCUGAGGAAUAAGCACCGGCUAACUUCGUGCCAGCAGCCGCGGUAAUACGAAGGGUGCAAGCGUUAAUCGGAAUUACUGGGCGUAAAGCGUGCGUAGGCGGUUUCUUAAGUCUGCUGUGAAAUCCCCGGGCUCAACCUGGGAAUGGCAGUGGAUACUGGGAGGCUAGAGUGUGUCAGAGGGUGGUGGAAUUCCCGGUGUAGCGGUGAAAUGCGUAGAGAUCGGGAGGAACAUCAGUGGCGAAGGCGGCCACCUGGGACAACACUGACGCUGAGGCACGAAAGCGUGGGGAGCAAACAGGAUUAGAUACCCUGGUAGUCCACGCCCUAAACGAUGCGAACUGGAUGUUGGUCUCAACUCGGAGAUCAGUGUCGAAGCUAACGCGUUAAGUUCGCCGCCUGGGGAGUACGGUCGCAAGACUGAAACUCAAAUGAAUUGAC
rnacentral:rRNA from 1 species